rnacentral:rRNA from 1 species
GACGAACGCUGGCGGCGUGCUUAACACAUGCAAGUCGAACGAUGAAGCCGGAGCUUGCUCUGGUGAAUUAGUGGCGAACGGGUGAGCAACACGUGAGUAACCUGCCCUUGACUCUGGGAUAACUGCUAGAAAUGGUAGCUAAUACCGGAUACGACCCUCGGCGGCAUCGCCAGGGGGUGGAAAGAAUUUCGGUCAAGGAUGGACUCGCGGCCUAUCAGCUAGUUGGUGAGGUAACGGCUCACCAAGGCGACGACGGGUAGCCGGCCUGAGAGGGUGACCGGCCACACUGGGACUGAGACACGGCCCAGAUUCCUACGGGAGGCAGCAGUGGGGAAUAUUGCACAAUGGGCGCAAGCCUGAUGCAGCAACGCCGCGUGAGGGAUGACGGCCUUCGGGUUGUAAACCUCUUUUAGUAGGGAAGAAGCGAAAGUGACGGUACCUGCAGAAAAAGCACCGGCUAACUACGUGCCAGCCGCCGCGGUAA